rnacentral:snRNA from 1 species
ACAAGAAUCGCUUAAACCCGGGAGGCAGAGUCUGCAGUGAGCCAAGACUGUGCCACUGUACUCCAGCCUGGGUGACAGAG